UUUGGAGGAGAAUGUGGGCUGAG
rnacentral:piRNA from 1 species